GACCUUUUUAACAACUCCUGUGAAGGUGGUUUACUUUUUAUCACCUAAUGUGAUCUGAGAUUGGACAUCCAUGCUGCCAUUUUCUGUCUAUACAAUGACAUCUGCACUGUAGAUGUACGAUUGCAAUCACGACCGAAUGGCCAUUUGACUGAGAUAGAUGUAUUUCCCUUCUCCAUUCUGAGGCAGUCUAAAUUGAAUGUGUUAAUAAGAAGAGAUCUUAUCUGCUUGUAUUGCGCAGGGACGUGUAGGACGGUUCAUGGACUCCUGACAGGAAGGCCCAUUGUGUUCGGCCACACCACAAGAUGUGAUGAGAUCGUAUUCAGUCCUGUGCACAGUGCUGGUGAACUCUGAACGAGUGUCAGGAGUGUGUUAUCUGUGACAGACUGCUUUUUCUACAGGUUAGACCACAAAGGCAGAUAAAAGACGAGGCACCGGGGCAGACAGGGAUGCUUUCACUUUUUCUGGCUGGGUUUAUUGAUCAUUGGACAUCAUGCAGAGCUCAACAUCUUUCUGAGAGUGAUUGGGUGGCAGGCCAACAGGUGCCUGUUAGACAGCUGAAUAAUUUAAAAACAGUCCAUGAAAGACUCUGUUGUACCGAUGACUGCGCUUGAGAAUCGAAAAUACCAAUCAUUUCUCUGGGUGGCUCAAGUCAUUCUCCCCACCGGACUCCCUAGGAUUAAAUUGAUUUUUACCUCCUUUUUUUCACCCUCCCUUCUCCCUAAAAUUGCAAUUUGCUGGUUCAGAUGGAUUACAAAGAGGAAAAUCACCACUGGAGAGAGACAGGAUCCACGCUUACCCACUAGGCACGGCAAUAAGAACUGGAGCGCACAACAAAGAGUUGAGCGAAAUGAGCUGCGUGAUGGACAGCACACGCCUGCUCAACGGGACAAAAGCCUUCAUAAUGACCAGUUGACAGGCAGACGCCAUUACCACACACACAAAGCCGUGAUAAGAUAAAACAGAUCUGUAACUGUCCUGUCAUAGAAACCAGCCCAUUGUGGGCUGAAAAUGAUAAGAUUUCUUCCCCUGCUACUCUCCACUCAUCCUCACCCUCAACACCCGCAAACGAAUGCAGUUUUUCUGUUUUUUCACCCUUCUUUUGUGUGGCUUGGGAAAGGCAGCUGCUUUUCUUUUCUCCUUCCUCCCAUGUUGGAAAAGAAAGCGCGAGGAUUGAAAUAGCGCACAGAAAUAGAAAUGGGCCUUAAACUGCUUUUACAAAAAGAGACAAAGCUGGAGAACGUCUGUUGUUUCCUUAUUCAUUAUGAUUACAGUAUAAUUCAAGACUGACUGACCAUCUCCCACCUUUUCACGAUCCUUCUUGUUUCAUGCGCUUUUGUGUGCUCUCAAUGACAAACUAACACUAAAACACACUAAUAGAAUCAUUUCUACACAUUCAUGCUGAUAUCUGAAUGCUGCUGGCAUCUUUGAGUCUUUAGUUGGGUAUUCCAACAAGACACAGUUUUAUAAAGAGAAUAAAAAGCCCAUCUGGACAAACACGAUCGUCCAAGAAAGACAGGCGGUCGUUGUCUGGCAUCUUUGAAAGGUUCAGCUGCAUAUGCUUUCAGACUGCUACUGUCAAAGACUUGGCCUGACCCCUCGCUUGAUGAGUCACCUACUGGCUUUUUAACCAGCUUGCGUUCUUCAGUGGCCACACUCACAUCAGCCUGGAGUGUCUGUGUCUGUGCUUUAUACAAGGAAUUCAAUUCAAACCUCUUUUAUAUUCAAAGUACUCUCUGAGACCAUUAGAUACAACAAUACAAAUUGCCUAAAUAAAUAGUAUUUUACUGUGUGCAUGAAAACUGUAUUACUGUUUAAAGUAAGUAGACACAAUUACCUCUUAAAUUUACAGAAGUUACUUAGUGAGUGAUUCUCAUGUUUUUAUUUUGUUGUUUGAUUAACAUUAUUAGCCUAAUAUAAGAAAUGCAUGGAUCC
ensembl:lncRNA